UUUGAUUUUAUCUUUAUUAUUUCCUUUUACUUACUUUGGAUUAUUUUCUUCAUCUUACUACCUUUCCAAAGUGGAAGCUUAAACCAUUGGUAUUGAACCUUUCUCUCAAAGACAAGCAUUUGAGGUUAUAAAUUUCCAUCCAAAUAUGGCAUCAGCUGCAUUCUACAGAAUUUGGUAGCGAUUUAGAAGUGUAUUGUCUCAUAGAAAAUAUUCAAGGCUUCUCUAGAUCUUACUGUUAUUGAAGCUAUUUUAAUUCCAUUGUGAUCAGAAAACAUCCUUCCUAAGACUGCAAUUCUUGGAGAUUAUUUACUGAGACUUGUUUUGUUGUCCUGCAUAUGAUCUAUCUUGGUGAUGAUUGUGUGUGCACUUGAGAAGAGUACGUCUCCCGUGGUUGGGGUUGUAAUCUCUAAAUGUCAAGUAAGUGUAUGUGGUUGACAUCACACUCAGGUCUUCCACAUCCUUACUGAUUUUUUUCUUGGUCUAGUUGUUGUAUCUGUUAUUUAAGAGAGGAGUGCUGAACUUGUCAAUUUUCUUUAUGGAGUCUUUCUUGAGUUCCAUCACUUUUUGAUUCAUGAACUUUUAAGCUCUGCUUUUAGGUGUAACACUUAGAGUUGUUGUCUUCUUGAUAUAUUUGUCCUUUUAUUAUUGUGCAAUGUCCUUCACUAUCUCUGAAAAUUCUUGUCUUGAAGACGACUUCAUUCCAGCUGUCUCACAGUUAGUUUGCGUGGUGUAUCAUUUCCCAUCCUUUUACUUUCAGUCUGCCUUUAGAUUCAAAGGAUAAACUACAAACAGCUGACUCUUGUUUUUUCAUCCAAUCUGCCCAUUUGCCAUUUGAUCCAAAUAUUGUCUAUUUACAUUUAGGUUUUGAUAUGGUUGAUUUUCCAUUUUGCUUCCCCCCUUAUUCUAUAUUGGUCUACCAUUUUGUUUUUGGGGUGCUACUUUUAUCAGUUUUAAUAUCCAUGGUAUAGUCACCUCAAAAACCCACAUUUUUUAAAUUAAAAAUUUUAAAAUAAAAAACUCACUUUUUUUCUAAAGCAUGUUUUAUGAAGCAAAUGUAACAGUGAUAAUUAAACCUAAGGAAGACAUACUAAAAAAGAUUAUUGGCCUUUGAUUCUGGACUUUUUGUACAGUAGUUUAUAAUUCGUUCAAUCUAAUUCAGAAAUUAGUCUUAGUUUCCUUUCUCUUCUGAAAUCAAUUUUAUUCAUUUUUUUUCCAUAGGAAAUUAUCCACUUCAUCUGUAUUUUCAAACUUAUUUGUCUCAAACAGUAUAAGUGAAGUAAGCAAGGCAGAUGAGCAUGCUGGAUCGCGUGCCUGACAAUUCAGAUCUUCACCACAGGAGGGCAGUCUGAGCUGGACACGACUGUAAACCAUCCUUCCAACAUGGGUAGCCGAGGAGCUCACCAGAUUGUUUACUAAUGGUGGAAAUCAGGCUUCUGCAGUGGAGGUAGAAGAUAAAUGGAAAAACAGGUCUGCCUGGCAGUUUCUCUUGAAUUUUGGGUAGGACUCUGCCUUUGCUAGAUCAUGCGGCCAGGAGACAUGAGUCACAGGACUGAUUGGUUUCAACACCAACCACCAGCUGCACACACACAUUCAUUAGGAUACAGAACUAUAUACAUAUACAUACAUAUGACCAGCAUGUUUGCGGGGGAUUUUGGGCCUUAAUAUCUAUUUUUCUUGAAAAAUGUUAACUAAACCAUUCAAGUAAAGAAGAAAAUGCUGAUGAAAAAUUAAGAUCCAAAGGGUUUGUGCCAAAAAUCAAACCAGUCCUCUGAAGCCUAACUCAACGGGACCCAACACGCUCCUUUGGAUUCUCACAUGUUCUCUGAAGCAGUGUGUGUGUGUGUUGUGUUGUGGGAAGGGAGGACUGCAGUGACACCCAAGGACAGGCACCAAGGAAGCAGGAGGUUGGGGAAACUUGAGAAGCAAGUGGUCUAGAAAAGGGCUCUGUAUCCAAGGAUCUCAGCAGCAAGAGUCAAACGAUGAGUAGACAUAAUUUGUUAUUACAAUGUUUUACCACUUCUGAGAUGUUGCAGAGCUCUCUUCGGAAUAAAGAAUGUACCUUUUCUUUUGUUUUCUCCCACAGUUUCUAGCAGUAUUCCCUGAGUAUGAGCAUGGGAAAUGCAUUUAUCACACUGCUCUACUUUCUUGAACCUGUACUCAAUUAGUAUGGCUAUUUACAAAACACAGUUUAAAUGCUAUAAUCCUCCCUUACCUCUGUUUUUGUAGCCUGCUUUUUCAAACUUCUUCCCUUCUACUGUAUACCAAUAAAUUAUAGUUAUGGAAGCGCUGCAAAAUUUAGCUUGGCUUUCUUUGCAAUGAUAUUCUCAUGCUAAAUUGCAUAUUUAUCCACUGUCUUAAAAUUUUGUUAAUGUUUUAUACUUGAUAUUGAUUUUUUAAAAAUUUGUAAUGAAUGCCUACAUGGAUUUUUGCAGUAUUAUUGGGUCAUGUCAACAUUAGUUACGGUAAAUAUAUUUUGCAGGGUGACAAAAAAUCAAUAAUAUUGCAUUCUAUAUUUAAUAAUUACAGUAAAAGUGGUAUAUUUUAUUCACAUAAAAUGUUUUAAUCAUAAGUAAAAUCAUUAACUAUGAAUUCAGACAAUAUAGUCAAAAUAUAUUUUACUUCAGCUUAAGGCACUACAUACAGAUUUCUUUAAAAGCACACUCAUGUCAUUUUAUUUACACACUAUUUUAAGUGACAGUACUUUCUAUCUUUAUCCUUCAUUUAUAACUUUACAUAUUCACAACGAAGUAAAACCCUCCAAAUAAAAGGAAUUAAAUGCCAUCAUCCUUAAAGCUUACCAGAUACGGACAAGAGAGGGAGACACCCAAGAACAAUGCAAAUGCAUCUGUAAUCUUUUAAUGCGUCAAGAUUUUAUCUUUAAAUUCUUGUAUGAAGCUUAAUGAAACAAUAUCACAAAA